rnacentral:lncRNA from 1 species
GCCCUACAACGCCCUUAUGCGCCCCCACAGCCAUGUUAGGGAUAGGAGGAGAAUCUCGCCCUAAUAUGAGCAAAGUCAAAGGCCCGAUUCUUUUAGACCAGAUGGGGGGAGAGGUCCUACAACGCCCUAAUGUGCCCCCACAGCCAUGUUAGAAAUAGGAGGAAAAUCUCAUCCUAACCUGGGCUGAGAUCGACUACGUCAAGAACAGAAGGAGGACCGCAUCCUGACGAUGAUAAAAACUCGAUCGCCCAACA